UACGAAGGGUGCAAACGUUGCUCGGAAUCAUUGGGCGUAAAGCGCACGUAGGCGGCCCUGUAAGUCGGAUGUGAAAUCCCUCGGCUCAACUGAGGACGUGCAUCCGAAACUGCAGAGCUCGAGUAUGGAAGAGGGUCGCGGAAUUCCCGGUGUAGAGGUGAAAUUCGUAGAUAUCGGGAGGAACACCAGUGGCGAAGGCGGCGACCUGGGCCAAUACUGACGCUGAGGUGCGAAAGCGUGGGGAGCGAACAGG
rnacentral:rRNA from 1 species